rnacentral:rRNA from 1 species
GUGUUCGGAUCGCGGCGACGUAGGCGGUUCGCUGCCCGCGACGUCGNGAGAAGUCCACUGAACCUUAUCAUUUAGAGGAAGGAGAAGUCGUAACAAGGUUUCCGUAGGUGAACCUGCGGAAGGAUCAUU